GGUUGCGAUCAUACCAGCACUAAUGCACCGGAUCCCAUCAGAACUCCGCAGUUAAGCGUGCUUAGGCGAGAGUAGUACUAGGAUGGGUGACCCCCUGGGAAGUCCUCGUGUUGCAACCC
rnacentral:rRNA from 1 species